UGACAAGUGCUUCAAGUAUAGGGAACAAAAAUCAUAUGAGGUGGACAUUACAGGCCAUCAUAUGGGCGGGCCUAAUUUUCAUGCCUUUUUUUUUUUGCAUCUCAAAGAGAAAACUUAAAAGUCAAAUAGGGAUUAGAUUUUUUCUACUAAUUGGAGUCCACUAGUUUUAUAACUGAAAUAAUAAAAAAUAAAAUAAAAUACAUACCUAAGAGAGAUCCUUCAUGACCAUCCAUAUUGUCUUUCUUCUUCAUCAAGCCUCUCCAUUAUCUUUCUCAUCAAAUCAUUUCUCCCAUCCGUAAGGUCUUCUUUUCGAGUCUAUUUUUCCUCUUUCAAACUCAAUGUGUCAUCCCUCUUAUCCAUGAGAUUUUCUUCAAGUUUCUUUCGUAUCUUCCAAAUCCUUCUUUUCUAAGAUUUUUAUAUCUAAAAAUUUAUAGAAAUUGUAUAUCAUUUAACCUAGAGGUGUAUAUUGAGACGUCGGAUGAAUAUUUUGCUAGAUAUAUGUCAAUUGACUAUUGGGAUAGAUUCUUGUCGCUCAACCAACUAUCACACUUUUUUAUCUCCCAACCGACUAAAGGAGCUACGCUGACUAAGCUUCCACAAUUCGACUUGACCCAGACUAGCGAGUCCUGUGCAGUCGGAUCUACACCAGCUGCUAUCAACAAUACUCGACCGACUAAUGGCAGCAUACCUAACCUAGUUGGCACCAAGCCGACUAGAUCCAACAUGCCGACUUUGCCAAAUGACACUC
rnacentral:lncRNA from 1 species